CGGAAACAUCGAUAGCUCUGAUCAGCAGUCGCAUUUGUCCAGAAUGUAAACAAGUCGGGCAUUCUUCACCGUCAGGAGAAAUUUUAUGACAAGGCUUGUUUCGUGUGGCUGUUUAUUGAGUAAAACCCAGAAGAUUGCACAUUGGCCAAGCGGAGCCUCUUCUCCGAGAGGGAAAAAGGAUGAAAAACUGAGAGUGGGCUUGAAGUCAACGCCUUUGUUUUUCCUGCUCGUUGUACCAGCCAUUUUUCAGUCUAAACAGGUAGAUGCAGUAUCAUAGGCAUAACCGUGCCUAUCAGCAAUGGUGAAGACAGGGUGUCUUGCCCACCAGCCUGCAUACUUGCAGAGACAGCUGCAGCAACAGCAGCAUUGGUUUCCAAGCAGAAGAAUCAGAAGGUGCCAAUGUUUUGGAGAGGCACCCAAAUUAUUUUUUGCCUAGGGCCCCCAAAAGUCUGGGAACCGCUCUGGUCAUGAUGCUGAACUCCUGAAUUAUCGACUCUUGCUUCUCUUCAAUUCAAUAAAAAAAUAAUGAUAAAAAGAAAUCAACGGAGGCAGCAGACUGUUUGGAUUGAUAACAAAUCAGCAAUAUUUUAUCAACUUGUUUUUUAUGAAGUGUAAAAGCUACUGAAAUAAAAUAGUAUCUAAUUUAAACCCCCAAACCUGUCUGAUCAAGGGAUCAGCAAAUAAUCAAAUGAAUUAAUUUCAGAAAUGAACGUACAACUUUAACUGCCUAGUAGUCCACAAAUCUAUUUCUGUUGACAAGUAUAUUUUUCUUUUAAAGUAAUAGUAAUCAUUUCCAUUACCCAUCAUGGUCUAGCAUAUAGAGGGACAUUUUUAAUGAUGUCUGAGUACCUUCCAGAUAUUAAGGAAAUCUUCUUGCUCCCUGGUUUUUCAUAAGUUGUUUAUAUCUUAGACCCUUGGAAUAGGGCUCCACCAAUCCAUCCUUUAGUAUAAUCCCUCUACUCUAUAAGCACCACCCAAGGGCUUGUUUGCAAAACAAGUUUCUCAUAACACUGGUACUUUCACUAUCUCCUCUAUUUGGAGCAAGGAACGUUUAGCUGUAACUUAAGUGGCCUGGAUUUUUGGUGCUUGGGGAUGGCUUGAAUAUUGCUUGCAACAAACAAAAGAUUUUUUAUUUGCAUGAUUGAUAAGAAGGCUAUUUUUAGGGGUUGUGUGAAUUGCACUGAAUGUUACUUGGUUACAUUAUUAUCUGGAUAAAUGUAUUUUUGAGGAAUCCACAGCAGUACAGGACUCUGGGUUCCAGUGUGUUCCAUGAAUGUGCCAUUUUUUCUUAUACUUUGUCGGUUUUUUCUAUUCAGUUGCUUUGUACUAUGCAACAGCUACGUCAGCUAAGACCCAUGUUGUCUAAAAAGUGCAUUGGCAGGUUUUAGUUGACAGUUAAAAAUGUUUUUUUAUUUUUUUGGCAAUAUUAGUUUUAAAACAAUGAAUGCUUUACAGGUAAGAAUCAUUUGUGUCUUGUCAUGCAACGUCUUCUAAACAUACAAUGUGUAUGUGUAUGUGUAUUCACUAAAGGAAAAUACUUUUGCCAUCCUUUACUUUUUAUAUGACAGAAAUGAGGUUAGACAAAUUAAUGUGAAAAUGAGAGGCCUUUUCCAGCAACCACAUGCAGGGUCUAGGCAUAAACCCCUUAUCACAAUACCACAGCUGCAGAAGGAAUCCUUUAAUCAGGGCAUUUCUUCUAAAUUAAGAAGCACUCACAGACCGUGAUGUUCAUUUGCAUAGGAAAGAAAUAAAAUUAA